rnacentral:rRNA from 1 species
UCCUACGGGGGGCAGCAGUGAGGAAUAUUGGACAAUGGAUGGAAAUCUGAUCCAGCCAUGCCGCGUGAAGGAAGAAUGUCCUAUGGAUUGUAAACUUCUUUUGUAUGGGAGCAAUAAGGUCUUCGUGAAGACUGAUGAGAGUACCAUACGAAUAAGCAUCGGCUAACUCCGUGCCAGCAGCCGCGGUAAUACGGAGGAUGCGAGCGUUAUCCGGAUUUAUUGGGUUUAAAGGGUGCGUAGGCUGUUAUAUAAGUCAGUGGUGAAAUAUUCGGGCUCAACCGGGAUACUGCCAUUGAUACUGUAUAGCUGGAAUAUGGUUGCUGUGGGUGGAAUGUGUGGUGUAGCGGUGAAAUGCAUAGAUAUCACACAGAAUAUCGAUUGCGAAGGCAACUCACAAAGCCAUUAUUGACGCUGAUGCACGAAAGUGUGGGGAUCAAACAGGAUUAGAUACCCUAGUAGUC